rnacentral:rRNA from 1 species
GAUGAACGCUGGCGGCGUGCUUAACACAUGCAAGUCGAACGGUGAACACGGAGCUUGCUCUGUGGGAUCAGUGGCGAACGGGUGAGUAACACGUGAGCAACCUGCCCCUGACUCUGGGAUAAGCGGUGGAAACGGCGUCUAAUACUGGAUACGAGUAGCGGCCGCAUGGUCAGUUACUGGAAAGAUUUUUUGGUUGGGGAUGGGCUCGCGGCCUAUCAGCUUGUUGGUGAGGUAAUGGCUCACCAAGGCGUCGACGGGUAGCCGGCCUGAGAGGGUGACCGGCCACACGGGGACUGAGACACGGCCCAGACUCCGACGGGAGGCAGCAGUGGGGAAUAUUGCACAAUGGGCGAAAGCCUGAUGCAGCAACGCCGCGUGAGGGAUGACGGCCUUCGGGUUGUAAACCUCUUUUAGCAGGGAAGAAGCGAAAGUGACGGUACCUGCAGAAAAAGCGCCGGCUAACUACGUGCCAGCAGCCGCCGUAA